ACCCGCCCCGGGCAGCCAGGAAGCAGGAACCAGGCCCGCCGCCAGGGCCCCCACGCGCGCCCCCCCGGCCCUGGCUGUGCGUCGUGGUCGUCUGUCCCUUGAAGAUCUGUCCCUUCCAAGAAUGUAAGCGCACGGGACAGUCGCCUCCAUUGAAGUCCUUGUGGCUCAGGGAGACCCUCUAGAGCUCAGGAACUCGAUGAGUAUUUAUCCCGGCAUGUGCCGUGUCCCCCAGAUGCUGUGAACACAAAAAUGAAAAGAAGAUCCAGCACCUGCCCAGCUAAAGAGCUUAGCUUUAGCUGGCCAGACGCCGUGUGUGGAAGAUCAUCGACAUCGGAGUGGGAGCCCGGAUUUGAGAGGAACAUGAACAUGCGGGAGAGUUUAGCCUCUUGUUACCGGGGAGAGCUGUGCUGGAAACGCUGGAAGUGUGGGGAGUACGUUGGCUUAAAGCAGUGUGUUACCACAUACCCCUCUCACCUUGUUGGUAGGCUGAAACCAAAAGACUUUUGGCUUUUUCCAAAAAUCAGAUCCAACCUCCAGAAAGCCUUAUCACUUCACCUUGUAUUGCAGUGGUUGGCCACAUCUUAUCUCCUUUACCAAACAGAAACUCCUUUGAAGACAGAGUAAAUGUCUGAUAUAUCUUAUCUUUCAGCCAGCACCGGCUAGGUGCCUGGGGAUGGAUGAGCACAUAAUAAAUAUUGAAUAAAUGGAAACAAAAAAAGCUACCACAGAGAUUGAAAGGAAAGUGCUACAAAUGCCAAAGUUGUUUCCAAAAGGUGCUCAAAGGUGUUUUGAGCAACGACAGCAUCACUGGACGAAGUAUCCAGUCUCAUAAGAAGCCACCCACCUGUGGAUUUAAUGGCUUAAUAAGAAGUUGACAAGGAGAAGAUCCCUCCCUUAGCUGCUAGGUAAAAGGCCUCUAUACUGCUUUUCAGAUAUCUCCAAAGCAUGCUGCCCUUCCACUAUUACGUGGCUGACUCCUCCUGUGAUUGUGAUCCCCUGGGACCCAGGUUCCUUUUCCUCUUUAACCUCUCUGUACUAGAUUUCUAUUUGCUUCUCCUUAAGAAGACUUCUCAGUAUCAACUGAGCUGCAUCUUGGCUUUGAAGAACAAAGCAGACCUUUAUCAAAGGUGUUUGGAGUCCUUCUUUCUCUAUAGAAUAAAAGCAGCUUGUAAUUUGAUAAGUA